GAGGUUUUCCCUGGGAAUUAGAUAUCACUGAGAUAUACAAGUGCUGCUCCAACCAGUCCUGCCUCUGACAAAGGAACAGCAACCUUUGUCUGGAAUGCAACCACUAAGGAACAUGCUAAAGAUGUCUCUGAUUUUCCGUCAGGAUCAGGAUUUUCACAGAAUUCAGUGUAAGGUAAUGCUUCUUCAGUCUAGUUCUCACAUUUUAAGAAUAAAAGUCAAUGAAAUGCCACUACAGAUAUAUUUUUUUUUUUUGGUGCUGUAAAUUGCAUUCUGAUGAAUCUUCACUCCUGAACCAGCCCUCCAGCACUGCCAGCAAGCCUCUCUUGUUGCUUCUAGCAAGAAUUGUCAUGGUGAUGCAUUCUGUUGACCACAUUUUUGAAACACAGAUUGUUUCUAAUUUUGUUUCUCCAGUUGACUCUGGGUACUGCACCAUCUCCGUUUCAGUCCUCGCUCCCUGUUCUCUGGAGGAUUUCUGUCACGACAAACCAUGAAAAUCCACCCAGGAGGAUCUGCCCUGUCCCCUUCCCGUGAGCCAGCCUGGGGAAGGCUCAGCACAGCCGCGGUGUGAGGAGCAGCGAGGGGCUCAGCCUGGACAAAAGGGCCUUGGGGGGGACCUUGCACAGCUCCUGACAGGAGGGGACAGCCAGGGGGGUCCUGUUCUCCCGGGAAAUGAGAGACAGGAUGAGAGGACACGGCCUCAACGUGUACCAGAGUGCUCCGGGCUGGACAGCAGGAGGAAUUCCUCCAUGGAAAGGCUGCUCAGGCCGUGGCACCGCCCAGGGAGGGCCGGAGUGCCCAUCCCUGCAGGUGUCCCCUGGAGGUGGCACUCAGGGCUCUGGGCUGGGGACAAGCUGGGCACGGGGCACGGCUGGGACUCCCUGGGCUGGGAGGGCUUUGCCAGCCUCGGUGACCCCGGCACUGCGGAGGGUCCCUGUGAGCUGCCCUUGCAGGAGGGUGACUCUGCAGCUACAGAGAUGUACCUGAGUUUCAGAGAGAACAUUCCAAAGGAAAGGAAAUCCUUCAAGGAGGAGUGGAGGAGGAUGAAAGCUGCUGGG